CUGCUCUCUGGAAAAAGAGCAAACAAAGCAAUUUCAGCAAACAGUGGAGGACAGGCCCUGCUCUUACAGGAAGCCCAUGUUCACCCAGAAAUGCAUCAUCCCGGCCCAGGCACAUCUGGUUUCCUCUACACUCUUCACCCAGGGACACAGGGAUAGUUCUACCCAGCCUCACUCACUUCAGAAGGGCCUCCAGCUCCCGCUUAACUCUGCCCACGACGGGUGGUCCCCAGAAGGUGAGGGCCGUGUACAGCUGCACCAGGGAGGCCCCUGCCCGGAUCUUCUCCAGCGCGUCCUGCCCGCUGCUCACGCCACCAACCCCAAUUAUGGGAACUCGGCCUACAGAGAAGCACAUGGUGACACUGUAAAGAAGGAUAUGGCUUCCGCCCCAGAGUCCCCCACAAUCAAGGCAGAUUAGGGAAUGAUGAUUCCCAUCAGGACCCAGGAGCCCAAGCCACACGCAGAUCUGAAGACACAGAUGCCGGAAGCCUUGCCUUGGGUGAGUGCAUACAUCUCCCGAAUGGUUUGAGUUGAUAAAUCCCGGAGGGGCUUCCCACUCAGCCCUCCUGUUUCAGAGCGCAGGGCACCCUGGAGGCCAGCAGGGCGACUCACGGUGGUGUUCGUAACAAUCAGCCCAUCGAUGCCCAACUGCAGUGUGAGAUGGAGAAAAAGCCAUGAGUCAUGGCACCGAAGGACGCAGAGGCGCUCCUCUGGGAGUCAAAGGCAGCAGCCGGGCCAGGUACCCACACCUACAGCCCCCAAAGCAAGAGCUACACCAGACCUUACUACUCAUCUUUUCCUCAACAAGUUUUAGAAUGAGCCAUAACGUGACAACAGCAGCCAUCACACACUGACGACCCACAGCAUUCCCCUAGGACAGGGUCCAGUCCUUAAAACAACCCAAUUACAGUGUCUUGUCUGAGGCCCUCAGGUAGUAAGUGGUGGAACCAUGAUUUGAACCCAUGACGGCCAGGCUCAGGCUAUUUCCACUACUCUCCUAUGCCACAGAGACCCGCUGUCCAGACAGGCUAGAGAGAGGAGUGAGGGAAAGAAUUUUGAGUGCCGGUCAAGACUGGCCAAGGACCCAGGCUCAAGCCUUAACCUUGCUGGAUGCAGAUGAGGAAACAGAGGAGGCAUGAGAAAAACUCCUUCAAGCAUUGAUUCCAACAUUCACUUUUGACCACAGGGUGAGUCCAUGACAGACACCAAACCAGCCUUCAAUACCAAGGAGAGGAAAUCAUAAAGGCCACCAUUCUGAGCUAACCCAGCUGGCCAAACAGCCUCUGCAGACCAUGGGAGGCACACCCUGGGCCCAGGCCCCGACUCAAACCUCUUUGACCACACUGGCAAUGUCCUCCUUGUCCUGGGCGGUGAGGUCAGGAGCGAUCUUCACCAGCACUGCCGGCCUGUGCACUCCCUGCAAGCCGUCCCUCUCCUGCAGCACCUAGGGCGACACACGGCCAGAGCUGGGGACCCUGCAGACCGCAGCCCCCCAGUGCAGCUGCGACCUACACUGCAGUGUGGAGUAAGAGCACUGGAGAAACAGCAUGGACAGAGCACAAACUCUCAAGUCCAGUAAGCCCAGGCCAUGCCCAAGCUCUCCUGCUUAUUAUCUCCGUGACCGAAGCAGAGUUAUUUGGUUCUACGAGCCUCCGUCUACACAACUGUUAAAUGGACGUGACAAAGCCUGCUUUUCAAGAUAGAUGCCUGGGGCACAUAGUAGAUGCUGAACGGGGUUCCUGAACAUUCCAAACGACAGAAGAAUAUCCACAUUGUAUGAGAGAAAAAAACAGAGGCAGAUCUUACAUCUCUGAAAGCCCAGCUGGAAAGAGGGCAUCCCCCAUGAACUCUGGGCCGCUCACUUACCUGUUAAUGACAGCUUGGUCCUCGGGGAGACGGAAGACUCUGGGUCUGGGGUUUCCUUCCUGAGGUUUUGGAGUCACACUUCCUAUCUCAACAAAACCAAAGCCCAUCUUAUAAAGUCCGUCCACGGCUUCCCCAUGCUUGUCAAAUCCUGCAGCAAUUCCUACUGGAUUUCGGAAUUUAUGGCCCAGAACUCUCACUUCCUGGGAAGAGGAAGACAAAGUCAGAGGCACGCAAGGCUAUCCCGGUGUUUCUCAAAGCAUGGUUCCUGGCACGGCUACACCAGAAUGACCUGGGAAGCUUGUGAAACCUCAGAUCCCAGGGCCCACCCCCAAGGUCAAAAUCUUUGGGGGAGGAAUGGAGCACUGGGGGAACCUAUUUUUAACAGUGCUGGCUCUCCAGGGGACUGUGACGCCUACUAGAGUUUGAAAACCACGGGGCUUUAUUAUUAGCAAGCCUGGGGGGAGAAACGGUGUUUCCACCAUGGGUUGAACAGGAGACAAGCGCUGCCUUUUCCAAUUGUGGUUAAGGUUCAUACCUUCUUAUCAACUAGCCUUGGUGGGAGAGAGUAGCUCGCUGGUGUCAGGCCCUAGAUAGUGCCUCCCUGAAACCAAGGCAUGGUAAGCAGCAAACCCUUUAAUCAGCUUAAUAAACAUCAGCUCCAGCUGUGUCCCUCCUCAUCCAGGCUGGUAAGAAGCCCCAGCCACGACCUCCAGCCUCCCACAGGGAACCCGAGGAAGGAAGGUGUUCAGCUGGGCAGAACUGACUGAUGGGCUCCAGCGACCUUUCAGGAGACUAGCAAAGGCCUCCCAGGGUGAACACCGUGGGAUCCUGGAAGCAGGGGCUAAGAGAGAUACUCCAAGAAAGAACAACAACAAAUGAAGGUGAGAAUGCUCGCAGCACCUCAGGAGACUGGGAGGCAAGAUGUGUGUGGCUGGACUAGGGGCCUUCCUCCAGGACUGCGGUUCUCAGCUCCGGCUGUACCACAGAGGCCCCUGGCAGCUUUCAGGUCCCACUCUCAGAUGUGGCGGUGAAACUGGUCUGGCACCAGGCCAGGGCAUCUGGAUACUCCAAAUGCAACCCCGGGGGAUUCUAACAUGCCUGACACAGGUGAAGGGUGGAGAGCUAAACCAGGAAAGCUGUGAAAUCAUCAAGAGUCCUGGCUACCAAGUUAAAAAGUUUGAGUCACAUUCUAAAUGAGCUGCUGCAAGCGUGGGCACAGGCAGCGGUGUUUAGGACAACACCUCCGAGGUCAGGUUUGCCUGUCUCUGUCAUCUGUGUCUACACAGACAUAGCCUGCGCCCUCAGGCACACACUUCCUUCUAAAUUCUCCUCAUCUCUGCAUCCCACUCAUUAUUCACUCCCAUUCACUCCAGGGCUCUCAAACUAGCAGUCUGGGUUGAGGACAGUUUAACAGAGUGCUCUGUCUGAGCCUACAGUGCCUGUUAGUGUGUGAGCAUGGCGAGUCAGGGGAAAUGACACAUCUGCUCAACAGCAUACAAUCAGAGAGUGAAAAGGAGUCUAAGGUCGGAAGGGGAAAUGCGGUGAAGGCCCCUUUAAUUUGUAACAGUGACCCUUCCUCCCCAGAGUUCUGAGGACUUCUUGUUUGCGUUUUCACACUCAAAUCAUUCCGAUGUCCUCCCAUUUGAAAAGAAGCCUCUCAAAAGGAAACUGCCGAGACUUCCAUGAGGAAGCAGCUUCUAUGAGGAUGGGGAUUCUUCUAUUCGGUUUGCUGCACUAAGCCCGGAAGGUUGCAUGAAACAGAGGCCCUUAGCCAUCUGCUGACACUGGCCUCUACAGUUAGAGGCUGUAUCUACACUUCUGCCUACACACCCUCUUCCAGCCCUAAAGGCUUUCCUGGGACUCUAGGCCAAAGAUUUCAAGCAUGUGGAGAGGGCCUGUGUGCUGAACAUACGGCUGAGUGAGGCUGGGACCCAACGCUCCUGUCUCGCACGGUGCUCAAUGACUCUGGCAGUUUCCCCAUUUAGCCAAGGGGAAGACUGAGCUACCUGCAACCUCAGCAAGGCAGGACAGCGGCCAAGGGGCAGGAAGCCAGUGUCAGACUCCGUGGGUUUGAAUCCUGGUCCUGCUACCCCCUAGCUGUGUGACUGGAGUUCCUUUCUGUUAUUCCUUACUCUGUUUCUUGGUCUCCUGAUCCAUGGCUGGGGAUGGUAACAGAUCUAGCUCAUGCAGUAGCUGGGAGGAUCAAACAAGAACAUCGCCUAACACAAUCCCAUAUAUGUAAUAGAUAAUCAUCAUUGCUAAUUACAUGACACAAAAAAAGAAU